AUUGAACGCUGGCGGCAGGCCUAACACAUGCAAGUCGAACGAGAGGCGGCCGGGUGAGAACUGUCUGGGAAACUGCCUGGGGGAGGGGGAUGACUACUGGAAACGGUAGCUAAUACCGCCUACCAUCAGCUGUGCCCAGAUGGGAUUAGGUAGUUGGUGGGGUAACGGUGCACCAAGGCGACGAUCCGUAGCUGGUCGGAGAGGAGGACCAGCCACACUGGAACUGAGACACGGGCCAGACGCCUACGGGAGGCAGCAGUGGGGAAUAUUGCACAAUGGGCGAAAGCCUGAUGCAGCCAUGCCGCGUGUAUGAAGAAGGCCUUCGGGUUGUAAAGCACUUUCAGCGGGGAGGCGUUACCCGCAGAAGAAGCACCGGCUAACUCCGUGCCAGCAGCCGCGGUAAUAC
rnacentral:rRNA from 1 species